rnacentral:rRNA from 2 species
ACGGGUGAGUAACGCGUGGGAAUCUACCCAACUCUACGGAAUAACUCAGGGAAGCUUGUGCUAAUACCGUAUACGCCCUUCGGGGGAAAGAUUUAUCGGAGUUGGAUGAGCCCGCGUUGGAUUAGCUAGUUGGUGGGGUAAAGGCCUACCAAGGCGACGAUCCAUAACUGGUCUGAGAGGAUGAUCAGCCACAUUGGGACUGAGACACGGCCCAAACUCCUACGGGAGGCAGCAGUGGGGAAUAUUGGACAAUGGGCGCAAGCCUGAUCCAGCCAUGCCGCGUGUGUGAUGAAGGCCUUAGGGUUGUAAAGCACUUUCACCGGAGAAGAUAAUGACGGUAUCCGGAGAAGAAGCCCCGGCUAACUUCGUGCCAGCAGCCGCGGUAAUACGAAGGGGGCUAGCGUUGUUCGGAAUUACUGGGCGUAAAGCGCACGUAGGCGGAUCGAUCAGUCAGGGGUGAAAUCCCAGAGCUCAACUCUGGAACUGCCUUUGAUACUGUCGAUCUAGAGUAUGGAAGAGGUGAGUGGAAUUCCGAGUGUAGAGGUGAAAUUCGUAGA